rnacentral:rRNA from 1 species
CCUACGGGAGGCAGCAGUGGGGAAUAUUGGGCAAUGGGCGCAACCCUGACCCAGCCACGCCGCGUGAAGGAAGAAGGCCCUCUGGUUGUAAACUUCUUUUCUCAGGGACGAAGACUGUGACGGUACCUGCGGAAUAAGCCACGGCUAACUACGGGCCAGCAGCCGUGGUAAUCCGUCGGGGGCAAGCGUUAUCCGGAUUUAUUGGGUGUAAAGGGCGUGUAGGCGGGAGCGCAAGUCAGAUGUGAAAACUCAGGGCUCAACCCUGAGCCUGCAUUUGAAACUGUGUUUCUUGAGUGCUGGAGAGGCAAUCGGAAUUCCGUGUGUAGCGGUGAAAUGCGUAGAUAUACGGAGGAACACCAGUGGCGAAGGCGGAUUGCUGGACAGUAACGGACGCUGAGGCGCGAAAGCGUGGGGAGCAAACAGGAUUAGAUACCCCAGUAGUC